CGGGUUCGAGUUAUGUUUGAGAAGGUUGGUCUUAAGCAUCAUGAAUCUGUGGUGAUCCGAGUAACUAGCUGCCCUAAUGGCUGUGCCAGACCAUAUGUGGCUGAACUUGGCUUGGUUGGUGAUGGUCUAAACAGUUAUCAGAUUUGGUUUGGUCUGGUGGAACCACCAAUCAAACUUC